GAGGUCUAGAAACUCGACAUCAAUGAUGAAGCGAUCAUGAAAGGUGGAAUCAACAGGCCAGACAAAGUCAUCGCUUGUUCGCAGCAAUCUUUCGUGAACAGUAGAGAUAUAGGGCGCGCGGUUAGCUCGAGCAUUAAAAACACGAAGAAUAAAUGUAGCAAUAGGAGGUUGCUCUAUGGAAACUCGAGAUGGCUCUGGAAACAAAC
rnacentral:misc_RNA from 1 species